ensembl:lncRNA
UGGGACGUAUGCUUGAAAAGCUUCAAAUAUUGCUUUUGUAUCAGCUGCGUACAGGACAUACAGCACUGCUGUGCAUCAUGGAGGUGACACAUGAGGAAAUGUGUGUUCUGUGUAUAUGGAAAUGUAAUGACUACAAGCAAACUAAACAAAUGACCUGGUCAGGGUGGGGGUGGGUCUGGAGCCUAUCCCAGGAACGCUGUGCGCGAGGUACGAACACACCCGGGAUGAGAUUCCAGGCCAUUGCAGAGCAGUGGUGUUUCAAAUAAUCGUCUAAGUGAAAAUAUACAAAAGUACUUUCUGAAUGUAUACAAAAAUAUAAAGGUGGGCAAAGUAUAUCCUGAUGCACCGAGUCCCCCCCCCCAACCAAAAAAAAGUUUCUACUUCUAGUCCUUGUGUAUAUUUGACCCCUAACACUACAGCUACGUUCGUUAAUCCUCAUGAAUUUUUCUCCAGUGGUGAACAGACUAGACUAUAGAGCUACCGGUGGUCUAGUCCACCUGUUCUAGAUCAGCGCUGGAGAACGGGACCAUCUGCACCACUGUAGGGUUUCCUCUGCCUGCUCUGCUCCGACUUCAUCAAAAAUCUCUGAAAGAUCCGGAAUAAAUGAACCGACUGCUGAGCGAGUCUGGAAUUCUCGGAUGUCGGCGCGGAGCAGAUGAUCUCCUGAGCUCCUGAUGUCUGCUUAGCACUUGAUUUACGCUUUCCUAGUGUAAAGAUUCUUCAGGUAUUGAAUCAGGCCAAACGUGACUCGUUACAUUUUGGGAGAACACGGUUUGAGGAUGCGUAGUUUCAGCGUAGAUGAAUGCCGAAGAGAGGAAAAGCAACCACUCUGCAAAGUCACAGACGAGCUGACGGUCAACCGAGUUAUAUAGCGCUAACAACCUCCCAACGAUUGCAAAAACAUGUUCACUGUCUGUGGUAUGACCCGUCUGGGUAGGCCGCAUCGUAAACAAGAGCGUCUCCUCUAACCUCCUGGUUCACUGACCACCGGACCCAAAACAGAGACUCGAGCAGAAGUAUUAUUCAGAGGUUUAUUCUUUUACCGGAGCAGUCUCUUCAGGGACGUUCACGGCCACACAAAACAGGAGAGAGAGAACACACAAACUAUACACCCGCUACAGGAAAACAAACCAGCAGUGCGAACACACCAGUAACGGUACGACACCGUACUCGCACCGAACCCCAAAUCAUAUUAUGUCCCAUGACGUAAGUUUUUUUUUUAAAAAUGAGAGAUUUUCUCUAGCAUAGAUGGCACGCUACGGUGUUUUAAAGAGUGCGAGAGCGGCUGAGCCGUAAGGACCGUCUGCACUGUGGACCGAGACGCGCGCAGUUCCUUUCUCCUCGUUCACGGUUCAUUAAAGUAAAAACGGCAUGGCUGAAAGUUGUUUUUUUUUUAAAAAGUAAUUUGUAAUGUUAAUUUUAUUAGUAUUCUGACAUUCUGUGAAAAGGAAAUCGAAUAUAAAACGCAUCGUUUGAGUUUCUGUUACUGCUUUUAUAACACUUUGUUGACAUGACCCAAGAUAAAGGCAAAGCGAAGUGUAAAAAAAUAUAUAUCAAUAAACGUCCAUGUCAACCUAUUCCUCACCUCCCCACCCCCCGGGUCAACCGUCCACUAUGGUUAUUUCCCGCAUGGUUACCAUGGUUACCGGUACAGACCUACCUUUGGACUCGCGUUGCUUCUCGUCUGAGUCUACAGAGACGAUUCUAUGCGUCAAACGAAUAAACUUAUUAAAUAGUGAGUGAUGGAGAUUUGUGUCGCCUAAGGACAGCUUCAGAGCAGGUUUAUUUGCAUUUCUAACCCGGUUGUUUGCUGUAAAUCUGACGCCUGGCCGUUGGAAGACACCAGAAGUUGUCUCGAGUGGUCAGAAGGCCUCAUAAACCUGAGAUCAACCCACAGAGAGCAUGCCCCGCCCCCAUGAUAUUAAAAAUACAAAAAAGAUUGUUGUCUAAAACUACAAAUUUGACAUUAAUCAUAGACAUUGAUCACUGAAGAAGAAGAAGAACCACUCGAUCGAACAGACGUCCCAAAGACUCACCCCGUGCAUGCUGAGUGGACUGUAGCUCGGCUGAGCGUUAUGACUCAUUAGUGCUCGGGGAAUGGAGGGAACGACUUUGAGGGAGAGUAAUGAAGCGUUUAAAUGAGCACUCGACAUGUUCCUUCAAGUCUGCAAGCUGAACUUCAGGGGUGCAGCCCACACACACGAUCUGUUAUUUAGAUCUAUACCACAGUGCUGAUGAGUCCUGGAUUCUGAUUGGUCAGGAGGUUUAUUACUGUUUGUUAUUUUCUAUAACUGCAUCCCGGACAGUAGCGCAGGUUUAUACGAACGCGCUCGUUCUGAUACGUUAUCGUUUCCAUACCGUAGUAACGGCUCGUUCGUAGGGACUCGUUAUGAAGGAAGCUCCACGUGAACUGAUUAACACAACGUGUGUAAUCGUCGAUACGGUGACAUUUCAGUUCAUUUAAUUAUCGUUGACAUUUGUGGAAAGAUUCUCCAGUGUCGACGCUUUGUAAGUUUUCUGAGUAUCUGGCUGUAUCUCUCUGGGAGGAAGCGUGUGUUAGCCUUUACUCUCCCCCGCUGAUUAGCUGUCAAUUUUGACACGUGAAUUAGCUUUAAUGCUAACUGAAAAGCUAGUUUCCAGAGAUGAUUAAAGCCGAAACCAGAUGAAAUAAAUCUGAAAAACAACACUGAUAUCUAAACUAGAUAACACUUGCUUCCUCCAACACACGUGAAGCGAGCGCAAAAAGAAGCACAUGACUGCACGUUAGCUAUUAGCUAGUGUUAGUUAGUUAGUUAGUUAGGAAUCGGCUAGUGACCAAAUCGGGAGGGAAAAAAACGCCCAAUUAAAUCUGAUUUAUUGUAGCCGGAACAAUCAUGUGGUAACAUCUAAAAAUCUUCAUGGGUGGAGCUUUGGAAAUCCCACAUUUGCUUCCUGUCUAACAGAUCUAUUAGCUAAAUGGAUGCUCAUAUCCUGCCUCUGAGGCGUGGCACAUCAGAGCAAGCA